rnacentral:rRNA from 1 species
CAGCCGCCGCGGUAAUUCCGGCGGCCCGAGUGGCGGUCACUAUUAUUGGGCUUAAAGCGUCCGUAGCCGGGUUGGGAAGUCCUCCGGGAAAUCUGGCCGCUUAACGGUCCGAAUGCCGGAGGAUACUCCCAGCCUAGGGAGCGGGAGAGGCCGAGGGUAUUCCCGGAGUAGGGGGGAAAUCCUAUAAUCCCGGGAGGACCACCUGUGGCGAAGGCGCUCGGCUGGAACGCGUCCGACGGGGAGGGACGAAGGCCAGGGGAGCAAACCGGAUUAGAUACCCGGGUAGUCCUGGCUGUAAACGAUGCGGACGUUGUGUCGGACAAGCUAUGAGCUGGUCCGGUGCCGGAGUGAAACCGUUAAGUCCGCCGCCUGGGGAGUACGGCCGCAAGGCUGAAACUUAAAGGAAUUGGCGGG